AACAGGAGAAAGCUUGCUUUCUUGCUGACGAGCGGCGGACGGGUGAGUAAUGUAUGGGGAUCUGCCCGAUAGAGGGGGAUAACUACUGGAAACGGUGGCUAAUACCGCAUAAUGUCUACGGACCAAAGCAGGGGCUCUUCGGACCUUGCACUAUCGGAUGAACCCAUAUGGGAUUAGCUAGUAGGUGGGGUAAAGGCUCACCUAGGCGACGAUCUCUAGCUGGUCUGAGAGGAUGAUCAGCC
rnacentral:rRNA from 1 species